UCUGGAGAAUGUGGGCAUUGAUCCCCCCUACCUCUCGCAUGCUAAGCAAGCACUCUACCAUUUGAGCUACUUCCCCUUUUCAAAAUAUGCAUGAAUUAAAAGUCAG